AGCGAACGCUGGCGGCAGGCCUAACACAUGCAAGUCGAACGAACUCUUCGGAGUUAGUGGCGGACGGGUGAGUAACACGUGGGAACGUGCCUUUAGGCUCGGAAUAACUCAGGGAAACUUGUGCUAAUACCGAAUGUGCCCUUCGGGGGAAAGAUUUAUCGCCUUUAGAGCGGCCCGCGUCUGAUUAGCUAGUUGGUGGGGUAAUGGCCCACCAAGGCUACGAUCAGUAGCUGGUCUGAGAGGAUGACCAGCCACAUUGGGACUGAAACACGGCCCAAACUCCUACGGGAGGCAGCAGUGGGGAAUCUUGCGCAAUGGGCGAAAGCCUGCCGCAGCCAUGCCGCGUGUAUGAUGAAGGUCUUAGGAUUGUAAAAUACUUUCACCGGUGAAGAUAAUGACUGUAGCCGGAGAAGAAGCCCCGGCUAACUUCGUGCCAGCCGCCGCCGUAACAC
rnacentral:rRNA from 1 species